rnacentral:rRNA from 1 species
GAUGAACGCUGGCGGCGUGCCUAAUACAUGCAAGUCGAGCGAACGGACGAGAAGCUUGCUUCUCUGAUGUUAGCGGCGGACGGGUGAGUAACACGUGGAUAACCUACCUAUAAGACUGGGAUAACUUCGGGAAACCGUAGCUAAUACCGGAUAAUAUUUUGAACCGCAUGGUUCAAAAGUGAAAGACGGUCUUGCUGUCACUUAUAGAUGGAUCCGCGCUGCAUUAGCUAGUUGGUAAGGUAACGGCUUACCAAGGCAACGAUGCAUAGCCGACCUGAGAGGGUGAUCGGCCACACUGGAACUGAGACACGGUCCAGACUCCUACGGGGAGCAGCAGUAGGGAAUCUUCCGCAAUGGGCGAAAGCCUGACGGAGCAACGCCGCGUGAGUGAUGAAGGUCUUCGGAUCGGAAAACUCUGUUAUUAGGGAAGAACAUAUGUGUAAGUAACUGUGCACAUCUUGACGGUACCUAAUCAGAAAGCCACGGCUAACUACGUG